AUGAACGCUAGCGACAGGCUUCACCCCUGCCAGUCGAGGGGCAGCACAGGUAGCAAUACCGGGUGGCGACCGGCGCACGGGUGAGUAACGCGUAUGCAACUUACCUAUCAGAGGGGGAUAACCCGGCGAAAGUCGGACUAAUACCGCAUGAAGCAGGGGUCCCGCAUGGGGAUCUUUGCUAAAGAUUCAUCGCUGAUAGAUAGGCAUGCGUUCCAUUAGGCAGUUGGCGGGGUAACGGCCCACCAAACCGACGAUGGAUAGGGGUUCUGAGAGGAAGGUCCCCCACAUUGGUACUGAGACACGGACCAAACUCCUACGGGAGGCAGCAGUGAGGAAUAUUGGUCAAUGGCCGAGAGGCUGAACCAGCCAAGUCGCGUGAGGGAUGAAGGUUCUAUGGAUCGUAAACCUCUUUUAUAAGGGAAUAAAGUGCGGGACGUGUCCCGUUUUGUAUGUACCUUAUGAAUAAGGAUCGGCUAACUCCGUG
rnacentral:rRNA from 1 species